UACGGGGGGAGCAAGCGUUGUUCGGAUUUACUGGGCGUAAAGGGCGCGUAGGCGGCCACCGCAAGUCGACUGUGAAAUCUCCGGGCUUAACCCGGAAAGGUCAGCCGAUACUGCGGGGCUAGAGUGCAGAAGGGGCAACUGGAAUUCUCGGUGUAGCGGUGAAAUGCGUAGAUAUCGAGAGGAACACCUGCGGCGAAGGCGGGUUGCUGGGCUGACACUGACGCUGAAGUGCGAAAGCCAGGGGAGCAAACGGG
rnacentral:rRNA from 1 species